GCCGGUGUGGCUCAGCGGAUAGAGCGUCGGCCUACGGGCCGAAGGGUCCCGGGUUCGAUUCCCGGUCAGGGGCA
rfam:Myotis davidii contig105627, whole genome shotgun sequence.